rnacentral:rRNA from 1 species
GACGAACGCUGGCGGCGUGCUUAACUCAUGCAAGUCGAACGGAAAGGCCCUGCUUUUGUGGGGUGCUCGAGUGGCGAACGGGUGAGUAACACGUGAGUAACCUGCCCUUGACUUUGGGAUAACUUCAGGAAACUGGGGCUAAUACCGGAUAGGAGCUCCUGCUGCAUGGUGGGGGUUGGAAAGUUUCGGCGGUUGGGGAUGGACUCGCGGCUUAUCAGCUUGUUGGUGGGGUAGUGGCUUACCAAGGCUUUGACGGGUAGCCGGCCUGAGAGGGUGACCGGCCACAUUGGGACUGAGAUACGGCCCAGACUCCUACGGGAGGCAGCAGUGGGGAAUAUUGCACAAUGGGCGGAAGCCUGAUGCAGCAACGCCGCGUGCGGGAUGACGGCCUUCGGGUUGUAGACCGCUUUCGCCUGUGACGAAGCGUGAGUGACGGUAAUGGGUAAAGAAGCACCGGCUAACUACGUG